rnacentral:misc_RNA from 1 species
GCAAAUGAAAAAUUAUUAAGUGCUCUUUACACUCGUAUAAAUGUAAAUCACAAAUUAUAAAAAGUGGAUCCAAUACCUAUGUGAAAGGAGCACAUGCUCCUGAUGUAUUCUAUAAUAUACCGUGACAAAGAGGACAACUGAUUGAAUAAAUUUGGAGAAAGAAAUGCAAUGAAUUAAAAUGACAAUGGGAAAUGAAACUUGAUGAAACUGCUUCAGCCGAAUACAAGAAUAAAUCAAGAACCCUACCGAUGUCUAAUUGCAGAUUGAUCAACCAAACUUAUGUGAUCUCCAGAUACCUAAACUAAGAAAUCAAGAAUGAAAAGUGGGUACUUUACAUUAGCAUUCAGUAGACUCUACAAAGCCUAGUUUAAGAAUCGAGACUCAAUUUCAAAACUAAUCAGAAUACAUAAAUUCACUAACCACUCAAAUGCUCAAAUGCUCUUCUCUAGGUAAGCUCUGAACGGUGUCGGACCAUCUUCCAUGUGAAUGGUCACUGCUACUGGAUGAAACCUGAGCCUCGGCCCUUGAAUCUCUUAUCAUCUUCAAAACAUCCCUCAUCGAUGGCCGGUUCUCUGGUGCAAAUGAUACGCAUGCCAUUGCAACAUUUACAAGAGUUCGAAGUUUCUCCUCACCUGCCUCAUUACCUGAGGCAGGCUCAUCCCCAGACUCUGUCUCUUCCUCGCGUACUGACCGAACCCACCUUGGAAUGUCUGAACCAUGUUCCUGAACAAGGUCCUGGAAAGGAGUUUUGCCAGUCAGAAGUUCCAAGAGGAGGACACCAAAGCUGUAGACAUCUGCUUGUUGAGUGGAUGGUUUUUGCAUUUCCCGAUUUUCAGGAGCUCUAUAGAAAAGAGAAGUAGCACUUGGUUCCUCCAACAUGUCUGGAUCUCGGAACACUGUCAGGCCAUAAUCAGUGAGGCAGGACUCAAAUUCAGGCCCUAACAGCACAUUGGAGGAUUUCAAAUUUCCGUGGGUUAAGCCAAGGUUCUGGUGGAUAUAUAGAAGUCCAGUUGCCAAAUCCUCAGCUAUUUUGAGGCAAGAAGUCCAGUGAAGAGGCUUUCCACCGCCAGAAGUCCUUGUUCCGUGGAGGACAGAGAAGAGACUGCCGUUGGGGAAAUAAUCAUAUACAAGCAAGCGUUCCUCCUUAGCCUGGAAAUAAGCCCUGAGUGGGACCAAGUUCGGAUGUCUUAACCUACCAAGCAGGUCCAUGUGUCUCCGAAACUCCUCUACCCUGGGAUAUCUCGAAUCUUUUAACCGUUUAACGGUCACAAUGAACCCAGACUCCAUCACAGCUUUAUAUGUGCUUCCUAUAGUACCUCUUCCCAGUGUCUCAGCUGAGGCCUUUAACAAAUCUUCUAAACUAUAACUCAUCUGCUGAUCUCCUGCACCCAAGAAUAUCAAAGUCCCUAACCCUUCUCCUUCCCAUGAAAAUACCCCUUGGGUUCCACCGUUAUUACCGCCCAUGCCACUUCCGCCACCUCCAUUUCCGCCGCUGACACCGCUAUUGUCACCACCGCCAACAACCCCUUUGGUUUUGCUUCUUCCCUCUCCGACGACUGAGCCCUCUUUUCUGCGGCGAUUCUUGCACACCAAACACACUAAAAGUAAACAAAUUAGACAAAGUACCAAAAACCCACCUACGCCGGCAAUAAUCUUGAUCAAUUUACUGCGCUCUGAGGAUGGCUUUGAACUUGGCACCGUCGGAGAAACAGGACUGGCUGAUGGCCCAGACUCAUAAUUCUUACAUGGGUUUUGAAUCUGUUCGCCGCAGAGAUCAAUGUUACCGGAAAACGAGGAAGCAUUGAACCGAAUCAAGGCAGAGGUCACUGGAAUCUGACCGGAGAGUUGAUUGUUAGACACAUUGAGGACCCUGAGACUGGUUUGGUUCAAAGGAGGGAUUGCUCCAACCAAGCUGUUGUCUUGUAAGUAAAGAACAUAUAAUCGAGUUAGUUUGAGAAGCGACGCUGGGAUUGGACCUGAGAUUUGAUUUCCGGCUAAAACUAUGACUUUCAACCGGUGUAAGUUGGUAAUUGAAUCUGGGAAAUCGCCGGACAAAUUGUUGCUGUUGAGAAAAAGAGAUUUGAGGUUGACAAGUCCUGACAGAUUGGGGAUUUGGCCUGAAAUUGAGUUCCCUUUGAAACUUAGAACCCGAAGUUGAUCCAAUUGAUUAAGGGUUUUGCCAUCUAGAGUACCACUCAGGUUCAUAUACUCCAGAACAAGCUUAGUCACCCUUCCAUUCAUGCACUCUUUGAUCCCUUGCCAUUUGCAGGCAUCGCUUCCUUGUGGCCAUGGCAGCGAGUUCAAAGGAUCAAUUGAUGACUUGAGGGUUAAAAGCACCUGGGCAUCGUCUGACGUAACCAGAAAAAAAUGAGAAAUGACAAACAAAAAGAACAAGUAGAUAACACGGUACCUUGAAAAUGGAGGUUCCAUCAUCUUGGAGAUCAAUAUGAAGCCUCCUCUGGGUAUAGAAUUGAAAUAGUCCUAAGCGAAGCCCUUGAUUGAUAUCAUUAAAGUUGAUUUUGAUUUAGUUUCCAUGAAGGGAGACAUUGCUAAAACUCCAGAAACAAGGAAUCUUGCACUUUUUAGCAUACCCUUUUUGCAUUGCACUCGUGUUUUGGCGCUUUUAAUCCAAGAAAUCAUUUUCAAAAACCAAAAUAAAAGAACCCAAAAUCUUCAGAUCUACCAUAGCAAUAAACUCUUAAAAGGGAGCCUAUUUCAGCCAUCCUCACUUCCUCAGAGCUUCUCAACAGAGCAGAGCAGCUGAAGAAGUAGAUAAUAGAAUAUAGCAAUGGCGGGUUACCCACUCACUCGGGUAUAGAAAACGAAAACCCUAAAAGCAGGAGAGCAUUUAAGCACGAGGAGAAGCUCCAUUGGUGAGUGGUGAAGUUCCAAGUUGAAUCAACAGGACGAAAAGAAGAAGCACCAACCUCUUGCUUGCAAAACUCACAGACAUUACACCGUAGCCAUCACGUGAACUCAUCUCAGAACCUGCAGAUAUUAAAUUACUAUUUUGUAUAUUUGAUUCCUUAUUUUUCCUUUCUCUGGGAUACGUAGGGGUGCGCGCUGGAGUCCUUGGGCUGCUCAAAGCUACUUUUAAGCUGUUUUUGAAGCCUUGACGUGGUAGAAGAAGAAGAAGAAGAACCGGAAGAACCACACGGUAGAACGUUGUAGAACUUGUGCUGUAUCUGUCAAAAGAUGGAUUUCCCACAAUGGGUUGAUCUAAUAAAGGACGAAAUUAGGAAAUUUCCAUGUUUCCAGCUAAGAAAGAAACCAUUCCCGGAAACCCAAGAUCCAAGAAGGCCAUACAUCUAUCUAUCUGGAAUUUGUAUGUACGCAGGCAGGAGGCCAGCGAUAAUAAUUUCAGAGAGAGAAAGUAAAGGGAAAAAAAGAACACAUGUAUUUAUGUAGAGUCUCUCAGGAAAUCGGUGAAUGAAUUGAAGGCAAAGUGUAGGUAAUAAAUUGGAGUCUCUCUCUUACCAAGGGGUUGAGCCUAAGCUAGUCUGAAACGUGUUACCACUAAAAUUGGGAUUAAAAAAAAUUGAUAAUGGUUAGUUGGUUCUUGAUAGUACCAUUUACACCGUGUUGCGAUAGGCGAAAAAGGAAGGAAGAAAA